rnacentral:rRNA from 1 species
UACGAAGGGAGCUAGCGUUGUUCGGAAUCACUGGGCGUAAAGCGCACGUAGGCGGAUGUGUCAGUCAGGGGUGAAAUCCCGGAGCUCAACUUCGGAACUGCCUUUGAUACAGCACGUCUUGAGUCCGAUAGAGGUGGGUGGAAUUCCUAGUGUAGAGGUGAAAUUCGUAGAUAUUCGGAAGAACACCAGUGGCGAAGGCGACUAACUGGACAUGUAUUGACGCUGAGGUGCGAAAGCGUGGGGAGCAAACAGG